ensembl:lncRNA
AGUCUUUCUUGUUCUCUCUGUUUCUCACACAUACAGAUGAAUGCUUCCUAAUCUGGGAGGAUAUUCUAAGCAUAAAUUUAUUAACAGCUGCCGGCUGAGACACUUAGGGAAAUGGAGCCAGAGCCGGUUACAAAGGUUGUGAACUACACAGAAUUAUUAACAACAGUCAUCUGAGUCUGGAGCCUGCGAUCACUUGGCAUUUGGCCUGCGGCACGUUCCUGUGAGACAAAUAGUGCUCCCCAGGAGUACAGCGCCUGACCUUCUACCUGGGAUGUGAGGAAGCAUGACAGAUGCUCAGGUGCCAUGUGCUAUUUGCAACACGUGGCAGCUGUGGCUGCCCUUCACCUGCUGGCAAGAUGAUGAGAUCUAG